rnacentral:lncRNA from 10 species
UUGAUUUCUCUCCUUACUUAUAAUUCUGCAAAGGAGGUUUCAAUGUUGGGAUGGCAAAUAUUAAGUAUCAACUUGAUUGAAUACAAGAAUGCAAAAUAUUGUUGCUAGGUGUGUCUGAGAGGGCAUUGCCAGAGGAGAUUCACAUCUGAGUCAGUGCACUGGGAGCAGCAGACCCACCCUCAAUCUGGGGGGGCACCAUCCAAUCGGCUGCCAGCCCAGCUAGGAAAAGUAGGCCAAAGAAAACGGAAUGAGUCAACUUGCUGAGUCGUCCAGGCCUUCAUCUUUCUUCUGUGCUGGAUGCUUCCCUGCUCUUGAACAUCAAGACUUCAGGUUCUUUGACUUUUGGACCCUUGGACUUACACCAGUGGUUUGCCAGGUGCUCUCAGGGCUUCCGCCACAGACUGAAGCCUGCACCGUCAGCUUCACUGUCAUAUUUUUCAGGUUUUGGGACUCAGACUGAGCCACUGCUGGCUUCCUUGCUCCUCAGCUUGCAGAUGCCUAUUGUGGGACUUCACCUUACAGUCAUACCCGAUGUGAAGCCUGACUGAGCAGAGUGGAGACCAGCAGCUGCACGUCAAGUAAGGAGGACCCCACCCGAGCCCAAGUGGCCUUCCCAGGACUUGACUCCAUAUGCAUGUUCUCGUCCAUGGGCUCAUACCCAGUCCAAAGGACUUUACCCCAGCUCCAUCUUUGCCCAGACACACUUGAGGCUGCAGGGUUUUGCUUCCCAAGGCCCUCACCAGAAUCAGAUGCUGGCACCAUGCUUCCUGUACAGCUUAUAAAACCGUGAGCCAAUUAAAUCUCUUUUCCUUAUAAAUUGCCAAGCCUCAGGUAUUCAUUUAUAGCAAUGGAAAUGGACCAACAGAGGUAGUCUGCUUUAUAAUGGGUCAGAACGUGAAUCACAUGAGGAUACGAUAGUGCUUGUUAUUCCUGAAUUUUCCACAUCAUACAAUUCACCUUCUGGGCUCCAUAUAGGGGAAGUGAUUCUGGAAAACGUGGUUCCCACUUCAGAAGGAACAGUGGUGUUGGGGACACGUUGACAACAGAAAGUCUAGCACAGUCCACCCCAUUCAAAAAUAAGCAUCUGUAGACAUUUUCAACUUCCAAAUAAAAGCAGCAACAAUACUAUUUUCCACCUAAUGUGAUGCAACUAUUCAUUUUACAACCCAAAGACCUUUAAUCUUCUCUAUGGAAGAGAUAUUUGAAAAUGCUAGUCCGUCUCCCAGAUGACUAACAACCCCUUUUGCUCUUUCAUGCUAUAAAUACCAAGGAUCAACCAAUAUAAACCUAUAUUACAUAGAGGGGUAUGAAGGCACUGAGACAAAAAGCAGAGGACUCAGUUAAUACAGAAACUAUAUUCACAUCAGCUGGGCAUGGUGGCACAUGUCUGUAGAGCUACUCAGAGGGCUGAGGUGGUAGGAUUGCAUGAACCUGGAAAGUGAAGGUUACAGUGAGCCAAGAUCGCACCACUGCACUCCAGUCUACAUGACAGAGCGAGACCUUGUCUGAAAAAAAAUAUAUAUAUAUACACAUCAAAGUGAGGAAGAUUAUAUAAAUAUCUAACUUAGUCCUUGUUUCAGCAGCUGGCCUUGAGGCUAAAGCUGGCAUUUAAAAAUUUCCUCUUUCAAGUUAGACACAGUGGCACAUGCCUGUAAUCCCAGCUACUCAGGUGGCUGAGGUGGGAGGCUCAUUUGAGUUCCGGAGUUCAAGACCAGCCUGGGGAACGUAACAGAACUCCACCUGAAAAAAAAUUUCUUCCACUAUCCAUUCCAUAAUCCCUAUGCUCUCAGCAAACACCUCAACUGGCUGUGAUUUUUUAACCUGGUGAAGUUACUCACGUCUUCAUGAAGUAUACAUUCCCUCAGGAGUCCUUCCUGUAAUGGAUUAUUAUCAUUUUCCCAUGUUUUACAAUGGGACGUGGGAGUUCUAAGAGGCAUCCCACAGAAUGCCUUGUGUGAGUGGUAUAGUUAUACUCUCUUCUGCCGAUUGUGUAGUAACUACCCAAUUCCCCCCUUGAUAAUCAGGACAAUUUGCCACUUUUUACUAUCAGGCUUUACACGAUUUCUUCUACCUUAGACUAUAUAACCAUUCAGUUACAUCCAGGUUAAUGGCUUCCACUUCCAAAGUCCGUAUCUCUGGAGUCAACAGCAAGAACACUUCCUGCCA